rnacentral:snRNA from 1 species
AGGAGCUUAGGCUCCCAAAGGCACGUGUCG